AUUGAACGCUGGCGGCAUGCCUUACACAUGCAAGUCGAACGGUAACAGCUCUUCGGAGGCUGACGAGUGGCGAACGGGUGAGUAAUACAUCGGAACGUGCCCGAUCGUGGGGGAUAACGGAGCGAAAGCUUUGCUAAUACCGCAUACGAUCUACGGAUGAAAGCAGGGGACCCUCGGGCCUUGCGCGAACGGAGCGGCCGAUGGCAGAUUAGGUAGUUGGUGGGAUAAAAGCUUACCAAGCCGACGAUCUGUAGCUGGUCUGAGAGGACGACCAGCCACACUGGGACUGAGACACGGCCCAGACUCCUACGGGAGGCAGCAGUGGGGAAUUUUGGACAAUGGGCGAAAGCCUGAUCCAGCAAUGCCGCGUGCAGGAUGAAGGCCUUCGGGUUGUAAACUGCUUUUGUACGGAACGAAAAGUCCCGGGAUAACACCUCGGGACCAUGACGGUACCGUAAGAAUAAGCACCGGCUAACUACGUGCCAGCCGCCGCAGUAAAAC
rnacentral:rRNA from 1 species